GUACAAAUAUAAUAGCAGUGUCACGACAUUGUACAGUAUAAGGCUUACAGUUGACUUAUUUAUAGAAAUACUUGACUUGCUUGGACAUUGCACCUUUUUUGUAAAUAUUGGGCUCGACAAUUGCAUCAGGUAGGUAUAGUAAACUGUGGGCGACAGGGUAAUUGAGUACUCAAAUUAAGUGCAUCCCCUGCAGCGUGCCUACGUGCGAAAGUGUGAGUAGGAUGCUAGUUGUUUGGGGCUACUCGGAAAUUGGGGUCUAUGUGGUAUCUUGCUGGGUUCAGCACAGAGGGCGUCCUGGCAGCCUUAUAUAGUAGUCAGUGUGGAUUUAUUCAUGCCAGGUGAACUUGGGUAGCUUAGAUAGACAUAUAAAGGGACAUUAGGCGAAGGCUAUCUAGAGAGUGGAGCGUUAGUUUUCCGAGCUGGGAUGGUCAGUUGUGAACAUCUGGGGUUUAGAUAUAGGUGGUGGUAACUGCUAUAUGUUAGAGAGGUGCUCUAGAGCAAGUAUUGCCCCUUUACCAUGGGGCAGUAAUGGGGGAGAGGUUGUAUCACUGGAGCUUAGUAUGCCAGCCGAGCACGUGUCUUAGGCCACCUAGAACAGGGGUACUGAAAUAUUUACGAACUUUGAGCAAGAGAGUAGUAACAUAAGAUACACUAUAUAAACAUAAAUUGUAGAUGGGUUGCAGAAGAUGGGGUAAGGUUUUGAACCUUCGCAAUUCCUAGGUAUAAAUGCAGGUCAUCAACAUUACAGGGGUGGGCUCAAGACUGUUCUUGUGGGAUAACGCUGUGGUCGGUGAGUCCAAAAGUCGCCAGUAGAGCCUGGCCAUCUCUGGGGUCUAAAGCCUUAUGCGUUUUCCCCAUCCAGCAAUUUGGAGAGAUGUGGUAAUGGGCUGCAUGGAUUU